GAGGGUAUAGCUCAGUGGAAGAGUGCAUGCUUACAUGCACAAGGUCCUGGGUUCAGUCCCCAGUACCUUCC
rnacentral:tRNA from 1 species